GAAGAGUUAGUUAAACAAUAACAUCACCUUGUCAAGAUGAAAUUGCUAGUUAAAUUCUUGCACUCUUCU
rnacentral:tRNA from 1 species